GUUGAAGUUUAUGCUUCAUACCUGAGAGUAAAUCGGAUCAUAGCUUGCGGGGACCUUUUUUAAUGGUACAAUAGUUGAUGAUAUUUGAUGAUGAUAUUGGUGUAUGCUCACAUAGGAAUGGACGAGGCCUUAGUGACUUAAUAACAACGAAAGACUAUUUGUUUAUGUUUUGUUUCAAUUUCUAAUGUAAUGUAAUAUAUUUAAUUCAAUAAAACGA
rnacentral:lncRNA from 1 species